GACGAACGCUGGCGGCGUGCUUAACACAUGCAAGUCGAACGGGCCUGUCUUCUUUUUUGGGGGUGGGUUGAGUGGCGAACGGGUGAGUAUCACGUGAGUAACCUGCCCUUCGGUCCUGGAUAACCGCUUGAAAGGGCGGCUAAUACGGGGUGGUCCGGUUGGUCCGCAUGGGCUGGUCGGGAUAGAUUCACUGUUUUUGGUGUUUCGGCGGGGGAUGGGCUCGCGGCCUAUCAGCUUGUUGGUGGGGUGAUGGCCGACCAAGGCGGUGACGGGUAGCCGGCCUGAGAGGGUCGGCGGCCACACUGGGACUGGGCUACGGCCCAGACUCCUGCGGGAGGCAGCAGUGGGGGGUAUUGCACAAUGGGCGGGAGCCUGAUGCCGCGACGUCGCGUGAGGGAUGGAGGCCUUCGGGUUGUGAACCUCUGUUUCCGGUGGUGAAGGCCCUGUCCGUGUGGUGGGGUUGACGGUAGCCGGGGAUGAAGCGCCGGCUAACUACGUG
rnacentral:rRNA from 1 species